CAUAGUAUAAUAUACUUGCAAGAAUUAGGUUUCAAUAUGCUUUUAUUUUAUAUUUUGUGUUUAACUUUGUUUAUUUGUUUUAAAUUGGAUUUUAGGUUUCAAUUUUAAUUUUGGAUUUGUUAAAAAGAUGAAUAUUUUAAUUUUGAUUUUACAAUUUGUUUUUUUUGGGCUUUGAAUUUGUUGAUAGAGGUUGAAGAUGACAGAUAUUUUUUUAUAUUUAAUUUAGUUUUGUUUUUAGUUAAAUAAAAUAUAUAAUUUAUAUUAUUAAUAAAACAAAUAACAAUUUUAAAUAACAUGGAUUUAAAUUUUAUAAACACACGUCAUCAUAUUUGGUGUCAUGUUGUUAAAAAUUCAUCUCAAAUUAGGAGGGACCAAGAUCCUAAAUAAAACUAAACAGAAGAUUAAAA
rnacentral:lncRNA from 1 species